CCUCAUUCCCCUAACCCUAGCCCAUUCUCCACGUCGCCGCCACCUCCCGUCCCCUGGCGUCGCCACCAUGCCCACUCGCCGUCGCUCCUUCCCCUCCUCCCCGCCCUCUCGCUGCUCAGCAAGAGGAGCACGGCAUGCCGCUGGCCCUCAUGCACCGCCUCCCUCCUCCUCUCCUCCUCCGCGUCGGGGCCGGCUAGGGUUCGCGCUCUCUCUCUCUCCCUCAGGUCUCUCUCCCGCCGCCGCCACGCUCCCUCUCUCCGGCCUGAGCCUCCAACUCUACUAUGUCCUGACCAGGAUGAUUUCAUCAAAGAGUGGAGCGGGGAGCCGGAGAGCGAGCCUCUCCUUUUAGUGCCGCUGUCGAUGUCGCUGUCGAGGGUUCUCGCGCGCGUGGCGGGGGUUCAUUCUAAUUCGGCCCUGCUCUGCUCUGGCGGCCGGGUUUAAUUCGGCGGCGGCGGUGGCAUCAGGUGGCGCUGAAGUAGGAGGUAGAUUGUGGUGGCGUUCAGGGACUCGCUCAAGGUGCUCGAGGUUGACAUCCAGCAUGCGAACACCCUGUUUGGAGCGUGUGUUGUUCACCAUGUCGUGAAUUCAUCUCUGGCGGUCUGCCACAGGCCUUCCGAGUGCUCGAGGGACUACGACAGGGCGUGCCUGCAGAUGCGCAUGUCCUACAGCCCCGCCAUGCGCAUCUUCCUCUUCCUCAUGAAGUGGACCAACUGCAGCCUCGCCGGCACGGUCGGCCUCCUCAGGAUACUCUUGUCCAUCUGUUUAUGUGGACGGCACCACCACAAUGUCCACCCAUGACAGGAAGGCCAGCAUCAGGGAGAUAAACGCUUUGUACAUAACUGAAAACAAUAGCAUGUAUCAAAUUUUCUAUUUCCCUGGUUUUCAAUUUGUUUCAUGCUUCCAUCUCUUUAGCUCAGUACCAUUACUAUCUUGAAGAUGAGUUUUUCUUAUCCAAUGGAAGAUGGAUUUAAGAUAGAAAUGUGCAUUUAACCAUUUAUCGUGUUUCUUACUUGAAAUGUUAUGCAUAAUACUUUUCUCUUGUCGUAAGACUUUUUUUUACUUCUUGCCAAUUGGUUUGGUGUUUUGUAGUCAUGCAUCAUCUUUUGGUGUUUUGUUUGUUUGGUGAUGUGGGUGAGUUGAUUUCUACCUGAUUUGUUCCUUGCCAUCCUGAUCUGUGUAGCGUUAAGCAUUUGAAUGGAGCACAUAUAGGCAUGCCCCAGUUCAUUUUAGAGUCACUUGGUUGUUUGAUGCGUUCGUGCUCGUCGGCGGGACGGUGCAAGGCGCAACUCCGACGCGGUUCCUCGCCGGUUGGACGGCAUUCAGGCGCAACCCCGGCGCGCACUGAGUACUGCCUUGGCUAUAACCUCCCUCG